rnacentral:rRNA from 1 species
AGCGAACGCUGGCGGCAGGCUUAACACAUGCAAGUCGAACGGGCGUAGCAAUACGUCAGUGGCAGACGGGUGAGUAACGCGUGGGAACGUACCUUUUGGUUCGGAACAACCCAGGGAAACUUGGGCUAAUACCGGAUAAGCCCUUACGGGGAAAGAUUUAUCGCCGAAAGAUCGGCCCGCGUCUGAUUAGCUAGUUGGUGUGGUAACGGCGCACCAAGGCGACGAUCAGUAGCUGGUCUGAGAGGAUGGCCAGCCACAUUGGGACUGAGAGACGGCCCAGGCUCCUACGGGAGGCAGCAGUGGGGAAUCUUGCGCAAUGGCCGAAAGGCUGACGCAGCGACGCCGCGUGGGGGAGUGAAGCAUUUC